UACGUAGGGUGCAAGCGUUAAUCGGAAUUACUGGGCGUAAAGCGUGCGCAGGCGGUUUUGUAAGUCUGACGUGAAAUCCCCGGGCUUAACCUGGGAAUUGCGUUGGAGACUGCAAGGCUAGAAUCUGGCAGAGGGGGGUAGAAUUCCACGUGUAGCAGUGAAAUGCGUAGAGAUGUGGAGGAAUACCGAUGGCGAAGGCAGCCUCCUGGGCCAACACUGACGCUCAUGCACGAAAGCGUGGGGAGCAAACAGG
rnacentral:rRNA from 1 species